CUUCACCUCUUCGUCUCUGAGUUUCAGAGACCAAACAUACCCCCGCCUCUUGCCACCGUGCACCGCCCACCGGAAAUCACCUCACAGCGGUUCAGGUGGUCUAAAUGACCCCAACUUUACACCACUGAUUCCCCUCGACCUCCCCUCUCCAGAUCCAUAUCCCUUAUCCCUCGAAUCUCAGCCGUGUGCUUCGAAUCUUAGAUCAAAAAUCAGGCCGGAACCCUAUCUCGUCCAAUAGCCUCCAGUUUCACACCACAACUCUGCCCUGACCUCUUCUCCCGAAAUCCACCCUCCCCUUCCUUCGAAUCUAGCCCCAGUCACUCGAAUCUUAAUUUUGAGCCAAGAACCCUAGCGCCGCCACAAGAUCCCCUGGUGGCGGCACCAAACCUAAGCCGACCUAAACCUACACACAUGGGCCACUAGCCCACCCUCGACCCAAACCCCAUGUUAGUCCUGCUCAAAUCAAGCCGGAGCUAGACGAAUCCCAAAUCGAACCCCCAAGAACCCUAGAAGACCAAAAGCUAAAAUCUGUCCCAAAUUAAAGGAUGAUUUGGGGUCUAAUCAACUUUAGUCGAAGUGUUUUCUGUUGAGAACACUCGAUUAAGGUCCGUUCGACCUCGAAAAUGGUCCGAGUCAGGGUCCAAGUCAGGAUCGUCCAUGUUUCCGAGUUUUGGAGGUAUUUUCCCUUUCUUGUUUGUUCCGUUUUUGGUUUUGAUUAUUCUGUUUACUUUGUUGAGUGUAAUUUUAUGGGUUUUUCAAUUGUCGUCGAUUGAUUCUGUCCUUCUCCACCAGACCUUUUAUUUGGUCCAAUUCUAUCAUUGCUUCUGUUUGCUGUAAUUGUUAUGAGUUAUAAUUUGUGUAAUCGAUUGAAUAAGUGUCGUCGAUUAGUCUGGUAUGCUUGAAUGUCAGAUUAGCAUGAUAAUAGUCUAAGUUUUGGUUCAUGCUUGUAUGUUUCCCCUCCUGCCUCGUUUGUGUUCUAAGGUUGUAUUAAAAUGAGCUCGUUGGUAUAUUUGAACUUAGAACUGAGCCUGUUGGUAUAUUCAGUUCAUUGAACUGGAUUUAUUGGUCAUUUGUUAUCCUAAAUCUGUUAAUACCCUUAAAGCCCCGUUGACUGUUUCUUCUUGUGUAUUUCAAUCUGAUUAAGGCAUAUGCUCAGCUAGUUGAUUCCAGCUCAUCUGUUGCUGAGCUAAAUAUGAUUGGUUCCCCAAUAUAGUUAGUUCAAUAUGUGUUGCUAUGAACCCUUAGUCUUCAGGCUAUUUGAUUCAAUAGCUUGAAUGACUAACUGAUUUGAAUUGGUUAUAGCUGUUGUGAUUAGUUGGAUUCAGUUUUAGUUGGGGGUAGAUUUGAAUAGGUUAGAAAGGUUCAAUGCGGGGUGAAAGGGAGUGGGUAGGGCAGUAAUUUCAGGACUUUCAGGAGUAAUUUGGGAAUUGAAAACAUGGAGAAAUGGGUGGUUUGAGUGUUUUGUCCACUAAGUAUUAAAAUACCAUUAAACUAAUGAAAUGAUUAGUAUUAGUGGGGAACAAAACAUAAGAGCAUGGGGGAUUAAUUGAUUAUUAUAAGCUGCCCAUACCUUUGAGCACAAAACACAUGAUAAUGGGCUGUAAGAGAAUAUCAUGGGCAAAAGGAUGGUGGUGGUAUUAGUUUAAUUGUUUUUGAGAAGGGGGAAUGUCUCUUUUUUUGGUUAUAAAUAGAGCAAGGUUUAGUCAUUGUGGAGGGGGACUCUUUUUUGGGGAGAGGUUUUUCUGGAUAGAGAGAGGGUGUUGUUUUGAGCAGAAAAUCAAUUCUAUUUCAAGUUUUGAGUUUGGUCUAGUUUUUCUUAGAGGCAGACUUUAGAUAAAAAGAGAGAGCUUAAGAGCUUGGAUAGGGUAACAAGAAACAAAUACAACUGCAGUGCUCAAGUGUGUUCUGGGCUGAACGGGUUGGGUUCGUGGCUAUUUGACCUCCAAGUUUGAUGUCCUGUUUGCUGUUUGCUAUUACUGUUCCUUCUUCAUUGUUGUGAAUCCCAGUUUUGAAUUAGAAUGUAGUCCCUUAACCUAUUUGCUUCGAGUCUGUGGGUUCGGGUUAGUAGAUAGAUCAGCUGACUGCUUAUAUUUCAGUCCCUGAUUCAUUUUUGGGUUUUGGCAUUGUUUGAGUUUGGUCUUUCAACUCUGUUGGGUUUUCAUACUGUUCUGGGCUUCUAACUUGGGUGACUUGUUGUUGUUAAGUUGAUGAUUGCUGGAAUUGUUACCCGUUGCUGACCUCCUUCUCUUCUUCUUGUAUUGCCAUUUCCAGGUACACAGCUGUAACCUUGGUCAUUUGUAAGUUGAAAACAUAAGCAUGAAUAUACAUGAAGAUUUGAAGCUUUAAGUUUGAUAUGGCUUUUUCUACUGAUUUGUAUAUUAGGAUAUCUCACUCAUUAAUAUCAUGUAAAUGCCCUCGGGAUGUAUAACUGGACAGUUCUUGUAAUGAUCUAAUUUGUGAACUUUCAAACGAAC
rnacentral:lncRNA from 1 species